rnacentral:piRNA from 1 species
UACAUGCAUAUGAUGUGCUUAGUUAUUAGU